rnacentral:RNase_P_RNA from 1 species
GGAGGUGGAUGGAGGAUCGCCGGCGGACACAAACCGUCCGCGGGAGGAAAGUCCGGGCUCCAUAGGGUUGGGAAGUCGCUAACAGCGACCCGAGGUGACUCGAGGGAAAGCGCAACAGAAAUCACACCGCCGAUGGUGUCGAGGCGAGCUUGAAAAAGACCGCGUCGGGGAGCUGGAUACUCGAAAGAACGUUCAGCUCAGGUUGGCGCCUAGCGCCAGCCCACACAGGUAAGGUUGAAAUCGUGGGGUAAGAGCCCACGCGCGACAGCCGGGUGACCGGCGGCGAGGCAAGCCCUUCCCGGAGCAAGCUCGAAUAGGGAUACCGCACAGGACGACCCGUCCGAUUGAUCUGGUUCGCCAGGUCGGGGUAUCCGGGUGAGAGUGCUUGAACGACACGGCAACGUGUCGUCUAGAGGAAUGAUCCUCACUGCGCGGGCGAGAGCCCAAAGCAGAACAGAACCCGGCUUACAGUCCACAUCGGAGU